rnacentral:tRNA from 1 species
GGAGAGGUGGCCGAGUGGCUUAAGGCGCCCGCUUGGAAAGCGUGUGUACGCUAAACCCGUACCGUGGGUUCGAAUCCCACCCUCUCCG